CAGCAGUGGGGAAUAUUGCACAAUGGGCGCAAGCCUGAUGCAGCCAUGCCGCGUGUAUGAAGAAGGCCUUCGGGUUGUAAAGUACUUUCAGCGGGGAGGAAGGCGGUGAGGUUAAUAACCUUGCCGAUUGACGUUACCCGCAGAAGAAGCACCGGCUAACUCCGUGCCAGCAGCCGCGGUAAUACGGAGGGUGCAAGCGUUAAUCGGAAUUACUGGGCGUAAAGCGCACGCAGGCGGUCUGUUAAGUCAGAUGUGAAAUCCCCGGGCUUAACCUGGGAACUGCAUUUGAAACUGGCAGGCUUGAGUCUCGUAGAGGGGGGUAGAAUUCCAGGUGUAGCGGUGAAAUGCGUAGAGAUCUGGAGGAAUACCGGUGGCGAAGGCGGCCCCCUGGACGAAGACUGACGCUCAGGUGCGAAAGCGUGGGGAGCAAACAGGAUUAGA
rnacentral:rRNA from 1 species